rnacentral:rRNA from 1 species
GACGAACGCUGGCGGCGUGCCUAAUACAUGCAAGUUGAGCGAUGAAGAUUGGUGCUUGCACCAAUUUGAAGAGCAGCGAACGGGUGAGUAACGCGUGGGGAAUCUGCCUUUGAGCGGGGGACAACAUUUGGAAACGAAUGCUAAUACCGCAUAACAACUUUAAACAUAAGUUUUAAGUUUGAAAGAUGCAAUUGCAUCACUCAAAGAUGAUCCCGCGUUGUAUUUGCUAGUUGGUGAGGUAAAGGCUCACCAAGGCGAUGAUACAUAGCCGACCUGAGAGGGUGAUCGGCCACAUUGGGACUGAGACACGGCCCAAACUCCUACGGGAGGCAGCAGUAGGGAAUCUUCGGCAAUGGACGAAAGUCUGACCGAGCAACGCCGCGUGAGUGAAGAAGGUUUUCGGAUCGUAAAACUCUGUUGGUAGAGAAGAACGUUGGUGAGAGUGGAAAGCUCAUCAAGUGACGGUAACUACCCAGAAAGGGACGGCUAACUACGUG